rnacentral:rRNA from 1 species
UACGUAGGGUGCAAGCGUUGUCCGGAAUUAUUGGGCGUAAAGAGCUCGUAGGCGGCUUGUCGCGUCGGCUGUGAAAACCUGGGGCUCAACCCCGGGCCUGCAGCCGAUACGGGCGAGCUAGAGUUCGGUAGGGGAGACUGGAAUUCCUGGUGUAGCGGUGAAAUGCGCAGAUAUCAGGAGGAACACCGGUGGCGAAGGCGGGUCUCUGGACAGUUCCUGACGCUGAGGCACGAAGGCCAGGGGAGCAAACGGG